rnacentral:snoRNA from 1 species
AAGACUAUACUUUCAGGGAUCAUUUCUAUAGUUUGUGACUAAAGAGAUCUGAUUUUUAAAAGAUGCUGAGUAGCUUCAUCUCCCACUGACUUCAACAUGAGCAGUGGAUGCUGAUGGCUUCUGAAAAUCAAGCCAUGAGUUCCUAGUCAUUUUUGAUUAGGUAAAUGAUGAAAGCUCAGAGUGGG